rnacentral:rRNA from 1 species
AUGAGGACGCUGUGUUGGAACUGCCGCGAGAUUGGCGACCCCGCGACAGUCAGAGAGCUCCGCGAUUUAGUGGAGGCAUGUGCGCCGAUGGUGCUUUGCAUUGUGGAGACACAGAUUGCGAAGUAUAGGGUGGAAGGUUUGGCAGGUAGCUUAGGUUUCUCGGGUCGUUUUGGAGUAGAUAGUGCAGGAAGGAGUGGUGGUUUGUGCUUGUUUUGGAAGACUAAUGUUGAUUUGGAAAUAAAAACUUUUUCUCAAUAUCAUAUUGACUCGGUUGUGAAGGAACCGGGCAAAAACCCGUGGCACUUGUCUUGUUUUUAUGGAGCAGCUAACAGGAGCCUGAGGUUCAGGACAUGGGACACGAUGAAGUUCUUACGGGGCGAAAGUACACUGUCGUGGCUUUGCAUUGGUGAUUUUAUUGAGAUAUUGCGGCCCGAGGAGCAAAUGGGUCCAAACGAGAGAGAUAGUGCACAGAUCGAAGGCUUCAGAGAAGCAGUAGAUGUAUGUGAGCUGGCUGAUCUAGGGUACAAAGGCCCGGACUGGACUUUCGAGAAGAGAGUCGCUGGUGGAGAGUUUUGCAGGGUUCGGCUUGACUGA